GAGACAGAAAGGAUUGCAGCGUGACCAUUUCUCAUGGUUGUGUUGGAGCCCCCGAAGUAUUCCAAAAAAUUAAAUGAGAGGCCAUCAUGCAAGUGUUGCCCAGGAGGUGGCUAAUUCCAGUCUGCGAAUCAACUCUUUAUCCACACCUAGCUAGCUUAACUUUGUCUCUGCAAGGACGCGAUGUCACAGUAAGCCAGAUUUGAGGAGUCAACAAUCCUAAGAAGUUGUUCAAGGAGGCUGAAGAGGCCUAGAUCAUCUUAAUUCUCCUUUCCCUGUUAGCUUCUCUAGUUGUAGAAUGGAAAUGACAUAACAUCAGGAACAUGACAAUAUUUUAUUAAUAAAGAGUAUUGCUUAUUAAAUAUUUGCAUAGAUGAUAAAAUAUUCAUUUUGCCUAUUUAGUAAUCUUAAAAUGAGAGAUAUAGAAGAAAUAGGACUGUGGCCAUGAAGGAAAAAAAGGGAAAUAUUUCUAUACAGAAACAUUGAAAGAAGAAUAUUCAUAGAUAUUUGUCAUUUUAAAAGUAUAUAUUUAGAAUCUUUAUUUUAUUCACAAAUAAAAAAUAAGAAAAAUGAUAAAGCAAACAAAAUUCUGAAGCAUAUGAUUCAUCCUAAAGUUUUAAGAGG